AUGAACGCUGGCGGCGUGCCUAAUACAUGCAAGUCGAGCGAACGGACGAGAAGCUUGCUUCUCUGAUGUUAGCGGCGGACGGGUGAGUAACACGUGGAUAACCUACCUAUAAGGCUGGGAUAACUUCGGGAAACCGUAGCUAAUACCGGAUAAUAUUUUGAACCGCAUGGUUCAAAAGUGAAAGACGGUCUUGCUGUCACUUAUAGAUGGAUCCGCGCUGCAUUAGCUAGUUGGUAAGGUAACGGCUUACCAAGGCAACGAUGCAUAGCCGACCUGAGAGGGUGAUCGGCCACACUGGAACUGAGACACGGUCCAGACUCCUACGGGAGGCAGCAGUAGGGAAUCUUCCGCAAAGGGCGAAAGCCUGACGGAGCAACGCCGCGUGAGUGAUGAAGGUCUUCGGAUCGUAAAACUCUGUUAUUAGGGAAGAACAUAUGUGUAAGUAACUGUGCACAUCUUGACGGUACCUAAUCAGAAAGCCACGGCUAACUACGUG
rnacentral:rRNA from 1 species